rnacentral:rRNA from 1 species
CUACGGGUCGCUGCAGUGGGGAAUAUUGGACAAUGGGCGCAAGCCUGAUCCAGCAAUGCCGCGUGAGUGAAGACGGCCUUAGGGUUGUAAAACUCUUUCGCUAGGGAAGAUAAUGACCGUACCUAGUAAAGAAGUCCCGGCUAACUCCGUGCCAGCAGCCGCGGUAAUACGGAGGGGACUAGCGUUGUUCGGAAUUACUGGGCGUAAAGAGUUCGUAGGCGGACUGACAAGUUAGAGGUGAAAUCCCAGGGCUCAACCCUGGAACUGCCUUUAAAACUGUCAGUCUAGAGACCGGAAGAGGUUAGGGGAAUACCUAGUGUAGAGGUGAAAUUCGUAGAUAUUAGGUGGAACACCAGUGGCGAAGGCGCCUAACUGGUCCGGUACUGACGCUGAGGAACGAAAGCGUGGGGAGCAAACAGGAUUAGAUACCCCCGUAGUC